AAAAGAAACCAACAGGGAUUGCCCUAGUAACGGCGAGUGAAGCGGCAACAGCUCAAAUUUGAAAUCUGGCUUUCGGGCCCGAGUUGUAAUUUGUAGAGGAUACUUUUGAUGCGGUGCCUUCCGAGUUCCCUGGAACGGGACGCCAUAGAGGGUGAGAGCCCCGUCUGGUUGGAUGCCAAAUCUCUGUAAAGUUCCUUCGACGAGUCGAGUAGUUUGGGAAUGCUGCUCUAAAUGGGAGGUAUAUGUCUUCUAAAGCUAAAUAUUGGCCAGAGACCGAUAGCGCACAAGUAGAGUGAUCGAAAGAUGAAAAGCACUUUGAAAAGAGAGUUAAAAAGUACGUGAAAUUGUUGAAAGGGAAGCGUUUAUGACCAGACUUGGACUUGGUUAAUCAUCUGGGGUUCUCCCCAGUGCACUUUUCCAGUUCAGGCCAGCAUCAGUUUUCGCCGGGGGAUAAAGGCUUCGGGAAUGUAGCUCUCUUCGGGGAGUGUUAUAGCCCGUUGUGUAAUACCCUGGUGGAGACUGAGGUUCGCGCUUCUGCAAGGAUGCUGGCGUAAUGGUCAUCAACGACCCGUCUUGAAACACGGACCAAGGAGUCGUCUUCGUAUGCGAGUGUUCGGGUGUCAAACCCCUACGCGUAAUGAAAGUGAACGCAGGUGAGAGCUUCGGCGCAUCAUCGACCGAUCCUGAUGUUCUCGGAUGGAUUUGAGUAAGAGCAUACGGGGCCGGACCCGAAAGAAGGUGAACUAUGCCUGUAUAGGGUGAAGCCAGAGGAAACUCUGGUGGAGGCUCGCAGCGGUUCUGACGUGCAAAUCGAUCGUCAAAUAUGGGCAUGGGGGCGAAAGACUAAUCGAACCUUCUAG
rnacentral:rRNA from 1 species